UUGAACGCUGGCGGCAUGCUUUACACAUGCAAGUCGAACGGUAGAGGGCUUCGGCCCUUGAGAGUGGCGAACGGGUGAGUAAUGCAUCGGAACAUACCCAGUCGUGGGGGAUAACGUAGCGAAAGUUACGCUAAUACCGCAUACGUCCUGAGGGAGAAAGCGGGGGAUCUUCGGACCUCGCGCGAUUGGAGUGGCCGAUGUCAGAUUAGCUAGUUGGUGGGGUAAAGGCCCACCAAGGCGACGAUCUGUAGCGGGUCUGAGAGGAUGAUCCGCCACACUGGGACUGAGACACGGCCCAGACUCCUACGGGAGGCAGCAGUGGGGAAUUUUGGACAAUGGGGGCAACCCUGAUCCAGCCAUGCCGCGUGCGGGAAGAAGGCCUUCGGGUUGUAAAGCUCUUUCAGACGGAAAGAAAUCGGGCGCGUGAAUAGCGUGCCUGGAUGACGGUACUGUCAGAAGAAGCACCGGCUAACUACGU
rnacentral:rRNA from 1 species